ensembl:lncRNA
CAACAAGUACAAUAAUAAUAAUUCAUAAAAAUGAUCAAUUAUACGAUACUGAAACUGUAAACUGUUCGUUUUCACAUCUCCUGAAUCUCCUGAUCUUCUAGGUGUACAGUGACAGCAAAUCCUGUAGAAACCAGAGCUGAAGACAUGCAUGAUUAAACCAAAUGAAUAUGAGCAUUGUGGAAGGAGCCAAACCGAAACAUGGUACGUUAUCAUCUGGCCUGGAAUGAAUGUCUCGACUGCUAAAAGUUCACCAAGCCUUGUUGGGUUUUUACCAAGCUGUCUCACAGUGCAAGAAGCAGG